CCCUUAGAUGUUCUGGGCCGCACGCGUGCUACACUGAGUGGAUCAGCGGGUCAGGUUGCGCGAAAGCGUUUCCUAAUCUUUAAAUCCGCUCGUGAUGGGGAUAGAGCAUUGUAAUUAUUGCUCUUGAACGAGGAAUUCCUAGUAAGUGCAAGUCAUUAACUUGCGCUGAUUACGUCCCUGCCCUUUGUACACACCGCCCGUCGCUCCUACCGAUGAAUGGUCCGGUGAGGACUCAGGAUGCCUUUUGUCUCGGUUCGCCGUACAAAAGUGUCAGAAUUUGUUCAAACCUUAUCAUUUAAAGGAAGGAGAAGUCGUAACA
rnacentral:rRNA from 1 species